rnacentral:miRNA from 1 species
GAGGGGUAGUGGGGGUCUUGAAGGCCCGGGAUGCCUCACGUCUUCACUCCUCUCACCUAAGCAG